rfam:Bacillus sp. SA2-6 scf7180000001080, whole genome shotgun sequence.
AAAAAGAAAAACCCUGCAUCACAUGCAGGGCCCCUUCUAUAUCCAUAUGGAAAGAAGGCAAAGGGAGAGGAGAAACCGGAGGAAGAACUUAUGGGGAAACGUAAGUCUUCUCCGCGG